CAGCUAGUCACGGCCAAGCUCCCAGCCCCACCCUCCCCUCCAUCCCAGAGGGAGCCGGCUGCAAAUUGAAAUCACUGCUCCGGGAAAGAACCAAGGGGAAAAGAGAAGGAAUUAAAAAAACCAGCGUCUUUUUAAUCAACGCUCAGAGCUGCAGCCGCUAAUGAAUUCAAGGAAGCACAUGGGGACGUUGACUCUUCCCUCACAGCAGGGAGAAGAGGAAGCCACUACACCAGAGAUCAAAAUUCUCUCCAGCAACAGGAGCCUGGAAUCAAGGCAGACGCUGGGGGCGCAUUUCCACUCAAUCAUGCCCUUUGUUCUCUAGCAGACCGGGGGAAACCGCGGCAGAAUCAAAGCACAAGGAGAGAAAGUUUCUUUUAAAAUCACUGGGCUUUUUGACACGAUGACAGCCCCUCUGGGAAAGAUGUAGGGAAGAGGAUGCAGGGUGGAGCUCAGGAGGGUGGGAGGGGGGGGUCUCAGAGCAGAGGGGCUGCUACUUGGUACAGGCCAAGAUGAGACCAGUUGAAACCAAGAAGCUGCCCAGAGGGACCUCUCUGGGGACUGGAGGGGGAAAGAACUUGACCAGGCCUUUCAUAAAUCUUUCUUCCCAUCCCUGUUCAUCCCAAUCUUGCAAUUCCAAGAGCUCCCCAGAAAGCCCCUGCUCUGCCCAGCAUUAGCGUUGAGUGCUGUUCAGAGGAGUGAACAUUGUCUCACUGGCUGGAGUUUUAUACACACACACACAUGCACGCACACACACAGAUCCAGGGGAAAAUUGAUUUUCACUUAUUUUCCCCACCAUGCACCCAUGUUCCAGCAACCUUGUGAUUAUAUCAUGCUUCUACCCUUGUUCCUUGUCAGCAUUGAUAUAUUUCCAAUUGAGAAGGAAUGCAGAAAUGUAUAGGCAUGCAUGUGCACCCCUCACCCCCCUACACACGCACACAUGUACACACAUACACACACACACACACACACAUACACAGAAACCCAUCCUGUGGGUCAGUUUGGCUUCCUGGGCAAUCUGAUGUUAUCCAACCACCUGACAAAGCAAAGCAGCCAAGAGGUAAGAGGUGUCUAAGAUUCACUGUCUCCUGAAAAUUCCAGAGCCCCAGCCCCACAUGUUCCUCAUGUCUCUGCAGGAGUCUGAGCGGUGUUCUGGACACUCCAGGGUCUUUCUAAAAGCAUAGAAGCUGGUGCCAUCUAUUGGCUGGGCCCCCAGGAUGGGGCUGAGCCACAGAGCCCUUUUCUAAUUCUCUCUCUAAAAGCUUCUAUCACAGACUGACUGUGCCAGUGUGUGUUUUAUUUAUGACUGUCUAAUCCAGUACUCAUCAUAACGCAGGGUGCACAGCAGGCAGUGGGUGUCAAUAAGUGUUUGUAGAAAUUAAUGUAAUUUGUAAGUAAUGAGAAUGUUCUUAGAGGCAGAAAAAUAAUGCAGUGCUCUCUGCUCUGUACUGAUUUUAAAAAAAAAAAUCUUCCUAUCCCCAAUUCUUCUAGCGCUGGUUCUUUAGGCGUACAGCCUCAACAUAAGUAAACAGCAGAGCGGGACUGGUUUCAGAAUGUGUGUUGCCAUUAUGGGUCACUGCUAUGAAUCAGAUGGACUGCUGGUUAAGAACUAGACCCUGAGGUCAGGCAGACCUUUGCUUGAACCCUAGCCCUCAUGCAUGUAUGGCUUUAGGCAAGUUACCUCGUCCCUCUGAGCCUCCUAUUAUAAUGGUGGUAAUCAUAGGAUCUGCUUUCACAGAGUUACCAUGGGUUUUCAGUGAGAUAAAGCACAGGAAGUGCAGCACAGCCCCAACACAGCCUUAGUGCUCAUUCACAGUGGCUGAUGCCACUGCUGCUGAUGUUGAUAUUCAUGCAGAAUUCAGGCUUGGCUCUGCUGGAAGGAGGUAAAAGAAGCAAGAACUGGGUCCCCUGAGAGCUCACAACUGAGUGGGGAGAAAGAGAGCACUUAUGGAGAAUAUCUUGAAAAGCAGCGCUUGCUAAACUUGGCUCCAAGUUCAGUAGGUGGUCAGAGGAGCAAGAAGGCAGAGUGGGCUGAAGUGGUCAAGGGAGGCUUCCUGGAAGAGGAGAAUCUGGAGACAGGCUCUAAAGGAUGGGUCAGAUGAGAUGAUGGAAAGUAGGAAGGGCAAAAGGCCUGGAGCUGGAAGGAGCAGUGGGCAGUGACCUGCAGAGAGGUUCCAGACAAGAGGAAUGAGGGUGGGUGCACAUCACAAAUUUGGAGACACAAGAUUGAUUUGACUUUUGCCAUAAUGAUGGCAUUGGGGCCAGGUGCAGUGGCUCAUACCUGUAAUCUCAGCAUCUUGAGAGGCCAAGGCAGGAGGACUGCUUGAGCCCAGGGGUUCAUGACUAGCCAGGAAAACAUAAGGAGACCCCAUCUCUACAAAAAAAAAAUUAGCUGGGCAUGAUGGUACAUGCCUGUGCCCCAGCUACACAGGAGGCUGAGGCAGAGGGAUCACAUGAGCCUAGGAAGUUGAGGCUACAGUGAGCGGUGAUCGUGCCACUGCACUCCAGCCUGAGUGAGAGCAAGAGUCUGUCAAAAAAAAAAAAAUAGAAUGAGUUAACAAAUUGUGGUAGUUAUGUAUAGUUCAUGUGAUGGAAUACUACACAGCAAUGAAAAAAGGAUGGCAUUCGGAGCAUGUUGGUGGGAGAGAUGCCGAUGUUUCCCUCAUGAGGGAAUUAGUGUUUGGUGACUGCAAUAAUGUGAAAACAAAAGUGCUUCCUCCAGUCUGGCAGUGAUUGUCUGACGAAUAACCUUUUGUGCAGGCCUCACCUCUCACUCUCUGCCUCCCUUUCCACUGCUUCUUUCCUUUCUGGACUCAGAAUUCCUGAAGGAGUGGGACAGGCUUCCGCUGAGCACAGGCACUGAAAGGACAGCUGCCCUCACCAGUGGUUGUGCUUCAGCACCACGGACAGCUCCCCAGACACUCGCCACACCCUUAGGCUCAAAGUGCCAGUGACUUCCAGGGCCCCAUAAAAGCACCUGCUAACCCACCCCCAGGAGCUGGCUGCUGCUCUCCCACCAUGCCCACUCUCCAACCUCCUAUGACUUUUUUUGUAUCUUUUACUUCUCAAAGCUGAAUUCUGUGUUCUAAGACAUCAGCUGAUACACUUGUCUCAUUCAUUUCAGUUUGUUGAGGAUCCCGUCUGUGCCAGGCACCAUGUUUAUCCACUCAUGGAAGUGGGCUAUAGAGGACCUCUCUGGUUGCCACUAAAAUCCAUUGUGUCCAAGGUCUCCUGGACCCCCUGGGUGCCUUUGCCAGAGAAGUGACUCCGAAGAAGUGAAGGCUCAACCACAGAGGGUCCUAUUAAAUUGAAUUGCCAUUUUCAUGGGUCAGCAAAUGGCUGAAUAUCAGAAGUGUCAUGCGCCUCCACCUAGUAUUUUCUCCACUGAGAGCAUCUCUUCCCUUGCCAGGAAUGUGCUACUUCCCACGGCUUCCAGGCCACUGGGUCUGGGCAGGGGUGACCUUCUCCACCCUGGGCAGGCUGGGAAGAGCUUCUCCUCUAGGGGAACUGCCUGCCCAGAGGUGGCCCCACUGAAGCAGCCCAGACUGUGACCCUUGCAGCAGCUAAUGAACACAGGUCACAAAGAGAAAAGCAGCUUUGUGAAAUAAUCCUUGCUCUGGGAGGCUGCCUGGCGAGAGCUGGCGGCUUCAUCAGAAUGUUUAUGGAGGGGAAUUAAUCAGGAAACUCGGUGGAGUCGCCUGUGGUGGGGAAGACUGAGGAAGGCGGCGGAGCUUGGGAGGGAGGGUGUUCCAUCUGAGUAAUCAAUGCUGGAAAUUAUUCUGUGAAUAUCAAUGGUCUAAACAUGGCGUCAAGGCUGGAGGGCACCAGAAAACAAGAAAGGGCAGACUGAUUGAGUCCUGCAUGGCCCAAUAACUGCCCAGCCUCUGCAGCUGCAAAGAAGGAAGGCUGUUGCCCUUCAUUCACUCACCCACUCAUUGAUUCUUCCUUUCAAUCAGGAGCCAGGCAGGCCCUCCAAUAGGCAGGAACUUUGCUGGUUGCUGGGACCAGUGCAGUAGUCACAAGACAGACAUGACCCUGCCUUCCUGGACUAGAUUGCAAAGACAUUUAGAAUCAAACUCAGGGAUUUUGAGCCUUUUUAUAACUUUCCAAGUUCCUCUACCCUCUCUGACCUCUGUGCAUAAUCAUUAUUGUUUAUUGAGCCUUACUGAGAGCCAGGCAUGGUGCCAUUCUCUCAGUAAAUCCUGACAAUCCAUGUUUGGAGUAGACAUCAUUAUUCUGAAGUUACAAAUGUGGAAUAAGGCUCAGAGAGGUCAAGGAACUUGCCCAAGGUCCCUGAGUUAGCCAGUGGCCAUAUGGAUCUCAAACCCAGGUCAGUCUGAGUGCAGAGCCUACUCUCUUAGCCACUCUGACAUACUGUUUCUCAAACGGAGUGCAACUUGUAUAUGCUUUGACCCGACUCUCCAAUUGCCCUGGCUUCCCCAUCCUCCCCACUUCCAGCUCACAGCCCUAAUGCCUGUUCCUCUUGAUUCUCCUUAAUCCCUCAUGCCUCUUAUUCGCUUUGCGGCUGGAGGAUAAUUAGGCAAAAUGAAACUAUUUAAGGAAAACUGGAGUUCUUUGCAGACACUGAGAGGAAACCUCUGAAGGCUAAGCUUGUGGGAGUGACUCCAGCUGACGGCACCUCGUCCUUGGCAUCUCAGGGCUCCUACCCAUGCCUUCCCUAUACUGUCCUGAGAAUUGGCCCUAAGUUUCAGAUCCAUGCUACGGGCAGGGAACACAGUGCAAGGGGACAGGAAGAGUGCUGAGGAUGUGAUGUGGUCACACCGUGUCCUUCAGAGAGGCCCUUGGUCUCCUCUGAGUCUUUUUCUUUUUUUGAGAGAGAGUCUCACCCUUUCGCCCAGGCUGUAGUACAGUGGUGCGAUCUUGGCUCACUGCAACCUCCACCUCCUGGAUUCAAGCAAUUCUCCUGCCUGAGCCUCCCGAGUAGCUGGGACUACAAAUGCAUGCCACCACGCCUGGUUAAUUUUUGUAUUUUUAGUAGAGGCGGGGUUUCAUCAUGUUGACCAGGCUGAUCUCAAACUCCUGACCUCAGGUAAUCUGCUCAUCUCAGCUUCCCAAAGUGCUGAGAUUACAGGUGUGAACCACCCACCGUGCCUGGCCUCCUCUGAGUCUUGUUCUCCCCAGUUGUUAACACAGGCACUAAGCUGGCUGACCUGUAAGCCCCUUCCAGUUCUGGCUGUCGGUGGGGGGCCUCCUGGCUGCUCUUCACUGUGGGACCAAAAGCUACAGCCUCGGUGGGGUGGCCCUGGGUGUGUCCUUUCCCCCUUGCUCCCACCAGUCUUCCCAAGGGCCCAACAGUCCCAUCAGUCACUCGGCAGUAGUUGCAAGGCACCUGCCCUGGCUGGACAUCAUGGAUGCAGCAGGGCCAUGACCCAAUCCAGUUGGGUCAGGCCUGUUGGAGGUGGGGUCUGGUGGGAGGCGACUGGAUCAUGAGAGCAGUUUCUAAUGGUUUAGCACUAUCCGCUGGGUGCUGUUCUCAUGAUAUGGAGUUCUCAAGACACUGGGGUUUUUUUAUGAAAAAAAAAAAAAAGAUUUAAUUGGCUUACAGUUCUGCGGGCUAUACAGGAAGCAUAGCAGCAUGUGCUUCUAGGGAGGCCUCAGGAAGCUUCCAAUCAUAGAGAGGAAGGUGAAGGGGGAGCAGGCGUCUCACAUGGCAGAGUGGGAGCGAGAGAGAAAGGGAGGGUGCCACGUUUUUAAACAAGAGAUCUGGUUGUUUAAAAGUGUGUUGGGCCAGCCACGGUGGCUCACACCUGUAAUCCCAGCACUUUGGGAAGCUGAGGCAGGCAGAUCACUUGAGGUCAGGAGUUCGAGACCAGCCUGGCCAACAUAGUAAAACAAAAAUUAGCCGGGCAUGGUGGCAUGUGCCUGUAAUCCCAGCUACUGGGGAAGCUGAGGCAGGAAAAUCACUUGAACCCAGGAGGCGGAGGUUGCAGUGAGCCAAGAUCGCACCACUGCACUCCAGCCUGGGCAACAGAGUGAGACUCCAUCUAAAAAAAAAAAAAAAGCGUGUUGCACCUCCCCUUCUCUCUCUUCCUCCUGCUCAGGCCAUCUAAAAUCUGCCUACUUCCCCUUCACCUUCUGCCUUGAUUGUAAGUUUCCUGAGGUCUCCCCAGCCACGCUUCCUGUACAGCCUGUGGAACUGUGAGCCAAUUAAACCUCUUUUCUUUAUAAAUUACAGUCUCAAGUAUUUCUUAAUAGCAGUGCAAGAAUAGCCUAGGACAGUGACUUUAUUUGGAAUAAGGGUCUUUGCAGAUGUCAUUAAGGUAAGGCUCUGAAGAUGAGAUCAUCCUGGAUUGGAGUGGACCCUAAACCCGACGAUAGUGUCCUUUUAAGAGACUAAAAAGAAAACAGAUGCAUGGAGAAAAGAAUUGUGUGAAGACAGGUAGAGAUUGGAGCCAUGCAGCCAAAAGCCAAGCAAGACUAGGGAUUGCCUGAAGCCAGGAGAGGCACGAAAUAGAUUCUCUCUGAGCCUCCAGAGGGACCCAACCCUCCCAACACCUUGAUUUUGAACUCUGGGCCUCCAGAACUGUGAGAGGAUAAAUUUCCAUUGUUUUAAGCAACCGCUUUGUGGUCAUUUGUUACAGCAGCCACGGGAAACUAACACAAUGUCCAAGGCCCUGUCCUGGUCUGAGGCAUCAGGGACAGCACCCUAGAGGAAGCGACAUUUGAUCAGAAGCCUGAAAGCUAAAGGAGGUAUAUGAGUUAGCAGCAGAGAGCAUUCCAGGCUGAGGAAAUAGCAGGUGCAAGGGCCCCAAGGCAGGAAAUAGGUUCUGAAGGAAGGAAAGACCCAGAGGACUGGCACAUUGGGGAGGGAGGAGGUAAUGCCAGAUGCUUCUUGAGAGGUGGGCAGAGGAAGACCCCCUUCCCCAGAGGAGUCUGUACUUUCUGCUGAAAGAAUAGGAUGCUGCUUCCAGCCUGGAAUCAGAGAGGUCAGCCCCGUGGGACCUGAGUCUGGCUGGUCUCUGCCCUUCCCAUGCCUGCGGCUCUGGAUUAAUACUAGCUGAUGGACGGAUGGGCUUCGUUGUGCUGUGUUCGAGGAGUGCAGUUCACCCUGAGUGUAUCUGUGGUGUGCUCACUGCCUCCCAGGACCGUGUGUCACCCCUCCCUGUCUCUGCGUCCAUCCUGAGUCCUUUGUCCCAUGUCAGACAACCCCUUGCAGUGUACCUGUCUCCUCAACCCCCAAUUCCUGUACCCCAAGCUUGUCGUGUUAACAGGAGACUUCCCUUCCCUUUGUCACCCUUCCCUUUGUCAUCCUCAGACUGAAUU
rnacentral:lncRNA from 1 species